AUGCCUUAGAGCACGCCCCUCCUGGGGAAACGGGAACCACGCCCAUGGCAGUCCUGGAAGCGCUGAUCCCCAGCAUUGUGGCACUCAUGCUGGCCACAUGAGCAGAGGUAUCGGAGAACAAAAACAACAUUGUGCCUGCACCCCCUUCUUCUCAGAAGAAGACCUCACUUCUCCUGGAUCCAGUGAUUUCGUCGAUCCAUGGCAGAAGACCCAGCUGACCACGGAUAUACACCUUGCCCCAGUGACCCUAGGAGUUUUCGAAAGAGGUGCACCCUGCCACAAGUUUGGGGGAGUCUAUCAGACUCUCCCAGGACCACCGAUGGUUGCAGGUUGAAAGUGCGAAGACACCAGGAGACUGGAUAAAGAAAAGAGGGGAAGGGGGGUAAAGGACCUCGGUAUUCAGCAAAGAACAUCGCGCCAUAUCUGCAGCCUCUGCAAGAUCGCCAAGAAGCUCUACAGAAGGAACCCCAAGAAGAUCCUGCAGAAAUGACACCUUGAGGCUUGCAAAUAGCAAAUAGCCAUCUCUCACCUCCUAUCUAUUGCUAAUUAAUGGCAUUGUUUUCUUAACCCCUUAAACAUUAUUAAUUUUUUAGUUUAAUCCACAGGUUGUUCCACUGGAAAUGGCUCCUAGGAGACUCCUGCUCUCUAUACCCAUACUGAUUGAUGCCAUGCUCCUUGCUAAGACCUGGGAAGUCCCACAGCCAAAGAAAAAUGUCUGGGUUACAUUAGCUAACAUCACCAAGCAGGAAAACCUGUGUUUGUCAGUAGCCACCCCUGAUAACCCCUCUUCCACCUGCUUAGUUGUGUUACCAACGGAUGUGUGGCCCUUAAACAAGGAUGCCAUCCAUAUUUUGCAUCCCCACAAGGAAUGGAUUCACAAUCCCGUUAAUAACUGGGAUUACUGGGCCAGGAACUUGCUGCACACAUCAUUAGAACCCCAAGAACUAGAAAUUCUAGGCUCUGCAAAAAUGGAUUUUUGUGUUAGAUUUCAUUAUAUCAAAACUACUCCUGAUUCAUUAUAUACUACAUUAAUGCCAAUGCUAUAAGAAAGCAAAUACAUAGUGGGCUGUUUCCCCACAUCAUCCAGUUUAUGAAAAUGAAAGUACCUGGGGUAACUACACCUGUCGUUUCAUGGUCCAGUGAUUCCCCGUUACAGCUACCACCUGGGACAGGUCUCAUUUGUGGAGACAGAGCAUGGCCUGCCAUUUCAUCUUGCAUUAAGGGCAGGCCAUGUAACUUGGGGAGGGUUACUCUACUAGUGUAACUGAAUAUGCCAUAUGACCAAGCCCCUAACAGGGGCUUCUCCCAAUCUCUGCCAGAUCCUGAGGGGACGUGGAGUUCAGACCAAUGAGAAUAUCCAGACCGGGUCUUUCAAAAUGCCCUUGGGGGGGGAAACAGACGUCAGAUGUGAAAAAUAAAUCUCUCUGUUGCCACACAAACAUCUAGGGGUGAGUUGUGUCUUUGUCUUCUUGCCCCUCACCCCCCGUCAUGUGCAGUUUAACACGUAGUGACCUCCAAAGUGACUGGGACUCAGCCAUAGCCUGGCACAGAGCAAAGGAGACAUAACAGCUGGUUUUUGGUCUAGAACCGAAUUAAUAAAGAGCUUGAGCUGGGAAUCGGGGUAAGACCCAGGGUACAGGAUAUCAGAGUUUGGAUUGGUGCGUGGAACCGGACACAGCCUGAAGAGCUGGGAACAGUGUAAAAGCUGGAACGGUGUAAAAACUGGACUUUCGGGAAAAACUGGGACUCACUAGCUAGACAGUGGUAAAACCCCCUUGGCAGACAGCAGAAAGUACUGCGAGGGUUUAAAAACUUGUUUUCUGGACUAAAAUGACAACCAAGACCAUGGGACCUUGGAUAUCAGGACCAGAAAGCACCAUGAUAAAGCUACUUAUUUUCUAAAAUGUAAAAAGAGGAAUUGUUUCCCCUGGGAGAGAGGGAACCCCAGCAUAUGCCGGCAUUAUCCAGGGAACCGGCGGGACAGAUUGCGAAAUCCAAGCACGUACAGAGAUGGCGGCCACCAGAGCCCCGGCUUCUUCGAGAUGCGCUGCGCCCUCCCCAGGCUGCAGUAAUCACUAUGCAGGCACUUCGAGCUACCAUAUCGCUUACCCAGGCGGGCACACCACGCCGCCCUGCUCGGGAGAACAGACCACAUGGUAGGUGUUUCUGGCCCCCCAAAGGGCUGCCAUGCCAUGCAGCCGCUCCGACCCCUCCCAGGAGAGAGCGAAACCCCGUGGCUCUGCCCCACCCCGUCCUUGGCCGGCCCGGCAGCACCCCCAUCCACCCCGCCCCCGAUCCAGCCUCCGGGGAACACGGCCACACCUCCGGAGGGAGCGGCCCCGCCGCCGAGCCUGCCUCCGAAGAAGGCUGCAGAACUCAGAAGCAAAGCGUGGGAGAAGUCUUUGCAGAGGUCCCGCUCGGGAAAAGGCAGUGCAGGGAGACAGGCGAGGGUGUGGUACCGCAGGGGCGGGGACGGUCGACUCUGCCCAAAGAGAUGGAGUCGGACACGCGGGUUGCGUGUCUUACAGCAGCUGAGCUGAAGACACUCUGCCACCCAGACAAGCGAGAACUCAGCAACUGCUUGCAAAUGGAAGGCAAAAAAGCAAACAGACACUAACUUUCCUUCCUUACAAAGCAUUACAACCACGUUACCUCCUGAUAAAUUGAGGUUUUCAUGGUACAAAAACUCUAAUAAAAGACACUGAAAGGUUGCCAUAUGAAAGUUAUGAUAAUGUACAGUUGUUUGUAAAAUAUGCAUUAGAACCCAUGGUACAAUAUUCAUUAUGGAUGUUUGCAUUUGUUAGAACCAAAAUUAACAAGCCCAUGAUCAGUAAGGUAUUAUAUUUCUGCCUCAGACGAUUAAUGCUGUGUAUCAGGGAAGCAUUAGUGUGUGUAUUAUGUAUUUUUUUCAUACUCCUACUAAUUAUUGCUGCAUUGUUUCAGGAAGGAUGGGUAAGAUCCAGGGGAUAUACACUAAGAUACCCAUACCAAAAUUAAUUUGUCAUAGGCAAAUAUCAGUUACAAAGUUCUUCAGCUGAAGUUUUGCCACUUGUCAUAAUUAAAAAAAAAAAAGUCAAUUAUUAAAUCACAAAAUUUCUAGCUUCUAAGAAGGCAAGAAAGGGAGUAUUACCUACACUGUGAUUUUUUUGUUUUUGUUUUUGUUUUGCACUAGAUAUUAAUACAAAUGUGUUUUUAUACAUGGAAUAUCUCCCAACCAAGUCAUUUGCCUGAUCAACCUAUGAACCUGGCUGGUAAAGACUCUUUGAAAAAAAAAAAAAAAAGAAAAAAGUAAAAAAAGUUAACACUUUUUCUUUAGAGACAGGCAUAGAGGUUUAGUCUGGAAGAAGCCCUCUAGGUUUGCUCAUAAUGAAAAAGAGACUUUUCAGCAACAUUCUACCUUAUUAAUACUGUUAAGAAAUG